GCAGAUCCUAAAUAGAAUUAUGACAGACAUUAGCUUUUAAUAAUGCAAUAGGAGUUGAAUUCUCUUGACCAUAGGCAGAUGUCAAACCUCUUUGUGGUGGCUUUUAUGCCCAUUUACAUGUAAUUUGUAAUAUAUUGGUGAAUUGGUAUAGUAUGAAUGUGCUAUGGAUAUUUUUUCUUUCUAGCUAAGUCUGUUUAUACAUCCAGAGCUCCCUAGUUGUUGGAAUAAUGACAAUGAAAUUAUUUAUACUUGACAUUAUAUUUGGAUUCAGAGUGUGGUGGCCUUUUAAGUUUAAUAAGGAGGAUUCUAGGAAUAUAUGUAUUUCUGGUGAUUUGUAAAAAUAUUAAAUCACCAUCUCUAUAACCAAUAGCAGCAUGCACGUUUGGGAAGCUGACUUCUACUAUUCUCUUAAUGAUUGAAUUCAGUGAAGUUUUCAUUUACUACUUUGUACUUCAGAAUUAUACAUGAGAAAGAAAAGCCUUACAGCAGUUUCUAGCACUGCCAAGGUACCUGGCUUAAACUGGGAAAUGGGUUCUAAUUGCUCCUCCCAAAAUUCAACCACACAUCAACCCUUUAAAUGCCUCAAGAACAUCCUGAUCCAGGAGCAAGAAAACACUUUGGACCAGCAAGCAAUCUUGUUGGAGUAAACGUUCUGCAAUUUGGGAUCUGCAAAUCUCUGAAUUUGGUGUCUUUUCUCUAUUAUCUGGAGGUUUUCUCUGGUUUUAUCCUGGCUUCAUUCCUUGUCUGUCUGGCUUCCUGGUUUAUUCCGUCUUGGUUCUCUGAAUAUCUGUGCUUGCUCAUUUGUUGAGCUGCAUUUUGGACCUGGGUGCAAGCCUUCUUUUGCAGGUUACCUUCCCUUUCUGACACUCAAGCACUGGACCCAGCCAUUGCCAUUUUCCAGUUCCUCAGGGAGCAACAUAUUUUCUAAAACAAAAAAAAGCAAAGUAUUUAAAAACCUAUAUUUACAGAAAUAUGGCAUCUUAAUCUUUAUUUUUACAUGACUGGUUAGAAGUUAUAGUUUUAAAAAUCUAAGUAGUAAAUACUGCCUACUUAAAAGUAGUUCUACAUUAGAAAUCCUGUUUAUCUUGGAGAUUUUAAUAAUUAAAUAUUUUAAAAUUACUAUACCAUAGACCAAAUUUUAGCAAUUAAAUAAGGAUUAUCAAAAAGGAUGAUUUAACCAUCAGAAAGAUACUAAAAUCACACAUAACUGUGUGAGAAAAAAAUCAUCUUCAAGCUAUGUAUUAAAUUAAAGCAAAAUUUAAUUUCAAUGAUGACGAUGAUGAUGAUGAUAAUGAUGGUGAUGAUAAACUAAUCUGGCAUCUAUUAAUACAAUGCUAAGUUUAGUUCAGCUAAUGUUCUUCUUACUUGACAUUCUCAAAUAUGGCAUGAUGAAGUUAUUUUUCACUUUGGCUUCAGCUAAAAUGAUUCUUUCCAGUUUUCAGGAGAAAACAUUUGCCAGGAAACAGAUUAUACUGUCCAACUUCUAAUGAGUUACUAUGAUCAGUGAGCCAAUUUUUCUUUAGCCUAGGUAAUAUUUUACCAGUAAUAUUUUAAAAAGCAUAAAAUAUGAUGGAAGUUACCUUUCCUCCAUAACCAUACCUAAUAAAUUCACCUCAUGUUAUAUACCAGUUCGGCUUAAGAAUAGUUUCAAAACAAGCGUUGCACUUUAAAAAUUGCCUAGAGAUCUAAUUUGCAGUGGUAUCUAAUUUUCAGCUAGGGUGAGGUGAAGCAUCAGAGCAGAUACAGUUUACCUUGCCACAAAAUAUUGCUCAGUAAGAAGUAAUUAUCAAUAUUAUUAUUAAUUACCAUAAUUCAUUUCUCUCAGGGGAUUUUCUUCCCAUUGACUAUAGGUAAGUGAAAAGCCCAGAACAAUUAGUAAUUGGAGAUAAAAAUCUUUCAAAACUGCAUAUGGUUGAAACACUGCAACAAUUCUAUAAGUCAGGGGUUGGAAGGGAGGGAGAACAGAAAUUUUCAUUUGAAUUUUUUUUUUUUUUUGCAGAGGCUAAGGGGAAAAAAUAACUACUUCAAGAAAUGAAAAUGGGUAGCCUAGACGUUUUUUUUUUUUGAAAUGUAGAAAACCCCAGAAUUCUGGAGAGCCAUUGACCCAGUUCUUCCCUUUCUACUGCCCCUAUUUGUCUGUGAUUGAGACAAUUCUGGGAGUAUUUAACUCUAUCUUCCUUUGUUUCUACUCUGAAUCCUGGUCCCUACUGGUUCUGAGGAGCAUUGCCUUAUGGAUUAUUGUCUCUGUUUCAUAUAUCUUAAAUAUAUUUGUUUUUAUAACUUCUUUGUCCCAGGUCAUAGGCAUACUCAAAGUGUUCCCUUCCAAAAACCAAAACUUAUCACAAAAUCCCACUCUGUUUCUCCUGCCCUUCUUACCUUCAACCUAGUUAUAUAUCCCUUUCCUUCAUUUCUUCAGGUCCAUAUUGCCUUUUAUUUGCCUUUAUUAUCUUAUUGAAUUACCUAGGAAUUCCAGUACAAUGUUGAAUAAAAUAGGGUGAGAGGAGACAUCCUUGCCUCAUUCCUAAUCAUAGCAAUAGAGUAUCUAAUUUUUCACUGUAAGUUUAAUAUUAGCUGUAGGUUUUUCAUAAAUAUUCACCAUCAAGUUGAGGAAAUUCUCACUAUUCCUGGUUUGGUGAGAGUUUUUAUCAUAAGCAGGUUUUGGAUUGUCAAAAGACUUUUUCUGCAUCAGUUGAUAAAAAAGUGUUAUCUUUCAUUAGCCUGUUGAUGUAAUGGGUAAGACUGAUAUUCUAAUGUUGAACCAGGCUUUCAUAUGUGAAAUAAAAUCCACUUGGUUAUGAUGUGUAGUUCUUUUUAUGCAUUGAUUCUAUUUGCUAAUAUUUUGUUGACACUUUUUGUAUCUGUGUUCAUAAGAGAUACUAGUCUGUAGUUUAUCUUUCUUUUCGAAAAAAUAAUUUUAUUUUUUAAUUAUUGAUUUAAUUAAUGAAUAAAAAA
rnacentral:lncRNA from 1 species